CGUAUAAGAAGAUUGAAACGAACCAACUGAUGGCGUCUAUACAGCUUGGUAUCCAUGACAGUAUCGGAGGUCUCGCUAAAUACCCGGAAAGGGAUUUGUUGAUGCAAGAUUUUAUGAAGGUUGAGACAAUUCAGUUUCCUAAAGGAGGAGGUCCAACCACACCCAGACAUUCAUUCUCAGACUUUACAUUCAGAACUUGUGCGCCCGUGGCUUUCAGAUACUUCAGGGACCUGUUCGGGAUUAAAGCUGACGACUUCAUGAUGUCUAUCUGCAAUGAACCUAUGCGUGAGUUGUCUAACCCUGGAGCUAGCGGAUCUAUAUUCUAUUUGACUCGAGAUGAUGAAUUUAUCCUGAAGACUGUAAUGUAUAAAGAAGCAGAAUUCCUACAGAAACUACUGGCCGGAUACUAUAUGAAUCUUCAACAGAACCCGCACACCCUUCUUCCUAAGUUUUUUGGAAUGUUCUGUUACCAGUGCAACCAGAAAAAUAUCAGACUCAUAGUGAUGAAUAACCUUCUCCCUUCUUGUGUCAAGAUGCAUUUAAAAUUUGAUCUUAAAGGAUCCACGUACAAACGAAAAGCCUCUAAGCAUGAAAGGAGUAAAAGUUCCCCGACGUACAAAGAUCUUGAUUUUAGUGAGUUACUUCCUGAGGGUAUUCUCCUAGAAGCUGAGACCUACACCGCCCUGAUGUCUACGAUGAGAAGGGACUGCAGGGUCUUGGAGUCUUUCAAGAUUAUGGAUUACUCCCUUCUUGUCGGUGUGCACAACUUGGACGUGGCUGCGCGCGAGCGUAGCGAAGGUGUCGCCUCGCCAUCAGAAGGAGGUGGAGGGGGAGGUGAAGGAGGAAAAAAUUUACAGCGUCAGAAGCUGGUAGCGCACAGUACAGCCAUGGAGAGUAUUCAAGCAACAAGUGAUCCUGUUGAUAUACCUACAGAACUUCCGUCGGGAGGUAUACCUGCUAGGAACCACAAGGGGGAGCGCCUCUUGAUCUUCCUUGGUCUCAUCGACAUCCUGCAAUCCUACAGGCUGAGGAAGAAGUUGGAGCACACAUUUAAGGCCAUGAUCCAUGACGGGGACACCGUGUCGGUGCACAGGCCAGGGUUUUACGCCGAGAGGUUUAUGAACUUUAUGGCCGGGAAGGUCUUCAGGAAGAUUCCCUCAUUGGACUUACCGGAAGUGAAAGGAAACCACAGGAAGUUUCGACUUGUGGUGGCCAGUUUGAUAGCAUUGAAGCAUUCUCCCAGUAAGCGGACCAAGUCCAUAAAGGGAAAGGGAUCAAGUAGUGGACAAAACCAUAGUUCUCUUCCUACUCCCAAACCUGUACAGCAAGAUGAAAGUCGGGAAAUCUCUGAGGAGGCUGGUCUUCUUUCACUUAAUUCGGAAGCAGAGGGUACCUGUUACCUGCCCUCUGUACUACGUGACCGGCCUAGUACCGGCCGGAGUUCACGAGGGAUCCCACCUCCGGUUCCUCCGCGUUCACCAAGGGCUAAAGGAAAUGAUAGAGGUGGAUCCCGACCUGACGUAGUCCCUGACCGAUCUAGUCUAACCGUAGGACGGACAUCUGAGGGAGAUUGGAACUAUUCUAACCAUAGUCCAGGACUCAGUCCUCAACCAGGACGCAGUCCUAGGACAAGAUACAUUAGUGGUGAUGUUGUAAGUGUGAGUGAUAUAAAGCUUGAACCCCGACUAGAUGACACACCUUCUAAACUCUCUACAACUAUCAGUUCAGGUCGGACCGCUACACCAACAUGGACCGAAGGAACACCGUCGUAUACCGAGUCAACUAUCAGUGAAUUUGGAACCCCUGCCCGAAGUCCACACAAUCGCGUUCUGAUGCCCCCGGAUCGCGCAAAAGAGGACCAGAUCGAUAUUGGCGCGAGUGCAGCGAAUCACAGCUACCACGAAACCGAGAUGGUGAGUUCCCUCGCCGGAACAGAAACUUUAAUGUGAUCCUUCCUCCCGUUAUUUUUAUUCAACUUGCCUUAAAGGGAGAGACCGGCUGUUAAAGCAUUCUUAAAAACGUUUCUUCUGCUGAAACAACAGUAAAUGACGUGUUGGUGGUGGGAAAAGUGCUCUCACGGCCGGGAUUUUUUGAUAAAAUUUUGUUUUCAAAUGAAAUUGUAAAAAUCUAGUCUCCUUGUUCAGAUGAAACCCCAAACCAAACCUUGUUAAAAUUUGUCAAAAAAUCUUUGCUUUUCUUGUAAUAGCAUAUCUACGAUGUAUGUAUGUAGCUUGAUCUUCAGACAAAUCAAAUUGUUAAUUUAGUGAAUUACAGAUAUUUUUUCUUUUGCAAUAGAUGUACUUAACAGUUUAAUGUACACCUUUCACAUGUACGUUAUAGCUCUGUAAAGAUUGUACACUUAACAGCUGUAAUCAUUGUAAAUAUUAGUUUUCAGCUGUAACAGUUUACUUGGUACUGUACAGCUAUAAAGUACAUUUUACAACUGCUAAUGACGUAGAUUUUAUUGUACAGCUAAAAUAGUGUAAAGUGAACCCAAAUGUACUGUACAGUGUUCAGUUGUUUUACUUAGUUCAUGGCAUU